rnacentral:sRNA from 1 species
CUAUCCGUAGGUCGGUAGCCCCCGAACAG